rnacentral:rRNA from 1 species
UUGAAGAGUUUGAUCAUGGCUCAGAUUGAACGCUGGCGGCAGGCCUAACACAUGCAAGUCGAGCGGUAGCACAGAGAGCUUGCUCUCGGGUGACGAGCGGCGGACGGGUGAGUAAUGUCUGGGAAACUGCCUGAUGGAGGGGGAUAACUACUGGAAACGGUGGCUAAUACCGCAUAAUGUCGCAAGACCAAAGUGGGGGACCUUCGGGCCUCAUGCCAUCAGAUGUGCCCAGAUGGGAUUAGCUAGUAGGUGGGGUAACGGCUCACCUAGGCGACGAUCCCUAGCUGGUCUGAGAGGAUGACCAGCCACACUGGAACUGAGACACGGUCCAGACUCCUACGGGAGGCAGCAGUGGGGAAUAUUGCACAAUGGGCGCAAGCCUGAUGCAGCCAUGCCGCGUGUGUGAAGAAGGCCUUCGGGUUGUAAAGCACUUUCAGCGGGGAGGAAGGCGUUAAGGUUAAUAACCUUGGCGAUUGACGUUACCCGCAGAAGAAGCACCGGCUAACUCCGUGCCAGCAGCCGCGGUAAUACGGAGGGUGCAAGCGUUAAUCGGAAUUACUGGGCGUAAAGCGCACGCAGGCGGUCUGUCAAGUCGGAUGUGAAAUCCCCGGGCUCAACCUGGGAACUGCAUUCGAAACUGGCAGGCUAGAGUCUUGUAGAGGGGGGUAGAAUUCCAGGUGUAGCGGUGAAAUGCGUAGAGAUCUGGAGGAAUACCGGUGGCGAAGGCGGCCCCCUGGACAAAGACUGACGCUCAGGUGCGAAAGCGUGGGGAGCAAACAGGAUUAGAUACCCUGGUAGUCCACGCCGUAAACGAUGUCGAUUUGGAGGUUGUGCCCUUGAGGCGUGGCUUCCGGAGCUAACGCGUUAAAUCGACCGCACGGGAGUACGGCCGCAAGGUUAAAACUCAAAUGAAUUGACGGGGCCCGCACAAGCGGUGGAGCAUGUGGUUUAAUUCGAUGCAACGCGAAGAACCUUACGGUCUUGACAUCCACAGAACUUUCCAGAGAUGGAUUGGUGCCUUCGGGAACUGUGAGACAGGUGCUGCAUGGCUGUCGUCAGCUCGUGUUGUGAAAUGUUGGGUUAAGUCCCGCAACGAGCGCAACCCUUAUCCUUUGUUGCCAGCGGUUAGGCCGGGAACUCAAAGGAGACUGCCAGUGAUAAACUGGAGGAAGGUGGGGAUGACGUCAAGUCAUCAUGGCCCACGACGGGCUACACGUGCUACAAUGGCAUAUACAAAGAGAAGCGACCUCGCGAGCAAGCGGACCUCAUAAAGUAUGUCGUAGUCCGGAUUGGAGUCUGCAACUCGACUCCAUGAAGUCGGAAUCGCUAGUAAUCGUAGAUCAGAAUGCUACGGUGAAUACGUUCCCGGGCCUUGUACACACCGCCCGUCACACCAUGGGAGUGGGUUGCAAAAGAAGUAGGUAGCUUAACCUUCGGGAGGGCGCUUACCACUUUGUGAUUCAUGACUGGGGUGAAGUCGUAACAAGGUAACCGUAGGGGAACCUGCGGUUGGAUCACCUCCUU